AAAAAAGUCUUUUCCUUAUUCCCUCACCUCUCUCCUUGCAGUGAUAAUGGACUUCCCUCCUUCAGAGUAUCCAAAGGCUUCUCCACCACCCGGAAUCCUAGAACAGCAACACCACUUCUAAGACACAAAAGAACUUCAAGCUUUGCUUCUCAGGUGGUCACACAGUGUCUUCGUUUUCCUUUUCAAGGAGUUGGAGCAUUCUGUACCCAAGAAUACACCUACACAGGGUAGUUUCCAGGAUGAGGAAAAAUCAUUAGGAAAAUGAUACCAAGCAUGAAAGGACGUCGUUACUAAGAAUCCAGGAAGCUCGGGAAUGGAUGGAGAGAAAAGGGGAAAGAAGAAGGAAAAUGGGAAAAGGAACAUCAGCCAUGAAGUGUAAACUAGAAGAAACACAGGAGCAGGCUGUGCCUUUCAAGACACGGAAGGUGAAUAGAAGAAAAUGUUAACAACAGAAACCUGAUCAGAGAU